GACGAACGCUGGCGGCGUGCCUAACACAUGCAAGUCGAGCGAUGAAGCUCCUUCGGGAGUGGAUUAGCGGCGGACGGGUGAGUAACACGUGGGUAACCUGCCUCAUAGAGAGGGAUAGCCUUCCGAAAGGAAGAUUAAUACCUCAUAAGAUUGUAGUUUCGCAUGAAACGGCAAUAAAAGGAGCAAUCCGCUAUGAGAUGGACCCGCGUCGCAUUAGCUAGUUGGUAAGGUAAUGGCUUACCAAGGCGACGAUGCGUAGCCGACCUGAGAGGGUGAUCGGCCACAUUGGGACUGAGACACGGCCCAGACUCCUACGGGAGGCAGCAGUGGGGAAUAUUGCACAAUGGGGGAAACCCUGAUGCAGCAACGCCGCGUGAGUGAUGACGGUCUUCGGAUUGUAAAACUCUGUCUUUGGGGACGAUAAUGACGGUACCCAAGGAGGAAGCCACGGCUAACUACGUGCCAGCCGCCGCGGUAAAAC
rnacentral:rRNA from 1 species